CUCACCUCUCUGGAUCCCCCUCCAGUCUGUUCCCCACGCAGCAGGCAAGGUGAUCCAUAUGAAAGAUGAGGAAACUGAGGCCCAGAGAGAUUAAGCAAUUUGCCAAAGAGCACAUAACCGUGCUGAAGUCCUGGCUUUUCCUGAAGGCCUCCAGGCUUAGGAAUCUGACUCUCACUGAGGGCUGGCGGGGCCCAAACUUCAGACAGUCUUCCUAACCAGGCAUCUGUGCCAGCAGCUCGAGCAGCAGAUGAGACCUUGGGGCCCUCGAGGAGGCGCAGUGAAGAGACGGGUGAUAAGCUGAUGCUUAUUACGUGCUUGAGAAUUCACCAAGGCCCUUUCUCCUGCCUCUUCUUAUCAUAAUCAUUUCCACUUCCCCACAAGCCCUACAGACCUCGAGCACAUCGGCCCUCCCAGCACAUGUGGGGAAGGGACCUCUCUCUCUUCUCUAUGGGGUGGAUGGGGGACAGGGCAUGGGUCCCUGGAAAAGAAUAACACUCCCAUCUCAGCUCUGCUUCUCAACUGCCCACAUGGCCCGUCCCUCCGUGGGCCCCAGUCCCCGACUGUAAGCAAAGAGGGUGGGCUGGAGGACCAUUAUGGCUCUUCUAGCUCUGAAAAUUCUAGACUCCUGCUUUGAAGACAUUUUGAAAAUCAAGAUCUUUGGUCAGGUCAGAGGAGUGGACCACACGUUUUACUAAACCAGGCUGGGCUGGGCGUGCUUGGUUGCUGGCUGCGUGAUGGAGACCCAGAGAGUCAAAGCCCAGUGUGCGUGGGGAAGUUGACCAUCGGGUGGCUUUGCCUUCAGAACAGAUAACCUGCAAAGUGGAUCUUUGGGCUGCAGAGACCCCAGCCUUGCCUGCCGAUCUGAGGCUGCCCCUGCUCUCAGCAGGGUCUCACAGGAAGCUGGGCUGGUUGUCCCCCUUUUGAUGAGCUGACUCGAGUCACUGACGGCCACUCUGUGCCAGGUGCUACGCUGGGCACUGAGGUUCAGGUGAAUCAGACCCAGGCCCUGGCGUCUCAGAGCUCCCAACCUUUCUCCCCUCCUUCAAGGCCCAGCUGGAACACCCCUCUUCCAGGAAUUCUCCCUGGCUUCCAGCUCUGACUUCUAAUGUCCCCCUGGUGUGGUACAAACCUAGCCCACGCCCAGGAGCUUUCCAGGGCACCAGGACCCACAAACCCUGGACUGUGAAGAGGUCAAGACAGGUCCCGGCAGCCCUACCCCGUGCUGGGGCUCAGGAGUUGUGGUCAGAAUUGUCGCUUGGCAACAAGGACUUAUGACACAGGCCACAUCUGUCCUGGCUGGAAGCAAAGGCACCAAUUUGACCCAGCACCCAUGUGUUGGGCUCAGACGCUCCUAAGUAAGCGAGGACAUUGUGUUGUCCAGAUGUUCCAAGUAAUCUGCAGAGGGGCAGGGUCACCUUGCGACAGUGGAGAACACAGGGGCUCUGCAUCCCAGGCCCGCCUCUUCCCAGCUGUGUGAGGCUGGCAGGUCACAUAAACUCUGUGGGCCUCAGUGUCAUCGUCUCUAAAAUGGGCUAAUAAUGCCUCCUAGCACAGUCACUGUGCAGCAGCUUAAACUAGUUAACGGGUUCAGAUGCUGCCAGUGUUCCAGAGAUGUGUUCCCCUCCUUCCCGGGCCCUCUGAGGCUGGCAUUCACCACCCCAACACACUGAGUCUGCUCCCAGAGGACACCUUCCCCCUCGGAGGGACACCAAAGCUCACUCUGGGCCUCCGCCCACCCCACACAAACAUAGGCUGGGCAAUGCUGGCUGGGGGCAAGACAGGGCCCUGAUGUGAUGAGACACGCCCUGCCGAGUCCUCAACUGGUCAUGUCCAGAAAAGCAGCCCCAAGGGCACCCCCUAGCAGUGGGAAAGAUCUGUUUCCACCAGUCUGUGAAGACGGCCCCUGUCCCAGGUACCUAGCCUGGCCUGGGCCCUGCUGCUCCCAUCUGUGCCAUGGUAGAGGCUCCCCAGAACAGGACAUGGGCAGCUCGGCUUGGGUUUGCCCUUCACUCUACAGGGUAGGUAGUGCCGUGGAAAUAUACAAGCUCUGGCGUCAGGCAGACUGGGGUUCAAAUCCAAGGUCCAUUCCUUACUGGCUGUGAGACUCUGGUCAAUUCACUUAUCCUCCCUGACCCUCAGUUGUCCCAUCUUGAAAAUGGUGCUAGGACCACCCACCUCCUGGCAUGGUUGUUAGACUAGUAUCUCUGAUGUUAGGUAUAAAGGACUAACAGGGCCUGGCAUGUAUGCCCUGGGGAAAAGCUCACUCCCUGAUAACAAAGAGGCCACCUCUGUACUCCGUGCACAGGGAGUGGCAGAGGCAAGAAGGCCAGGUGAAGAACAGACCCCAGACAAGCACCGAGGGCCCAGAAUUCGCCCGGAUUCCCUCUCCGGGCUUGUCAGAAAGUCCUUGGAGAGAUUUAAUUGGGAUGGGCUCUCCCCCUGGGAGAGGAGAGCCCAACAUCCACCCAGUGAAGCUGAAGGUCACAUCAAAUCUGAAAGGCGACUUUGUUCUCUGCAGCUUCAUCCGUUAUGCAUGAAAGAGCAGAUGGCGAGUGCUCAGGAUUCAUAAUUUGAGACAUCCGGAGACUAAAGGCAUUGGCCAAAUUUAAACCGAAAGACGGACUUGUUGGGUGUCUUCUCAGAUUAUGGGAGAAGAAGAAAGGAGAGAAUUUCUUAGUCAUCUACCAUCCACUCAGAAUUCACGGCCAGUCUGCCCGACGAGGGCUGAUAUCAGAGGUCUCCGCCCCUGGGUUCCGGAUAUUUUUAUGAUCACUGUUUGAAAGGGACAGAGAGAUAAAUGUCCGAGGAGACCCCCACUGGAGCUUGAAGAGAGCAGCCUUUCUGUGCGGCUCUACAGGAGGCCACAGGCAGCAUGACUGCAGACGUGGCUCCCGGGGGAUCAGGACGUGGCAGAGUCAAGGGCCACAGAGAUCCGAGUCUGGGCUGUGGUCUGUCAGGCACUGGCAGCAGUGCCUGCAGCCUCGGUUCCUGCAGCAGGAAAGGGAGCCAGUACCACGGGGCUCAACAGGAGCGCCACGAUGAGCUAGAGUUGAGAGCCUGGCACGGCCUUGGGCACAGACGAAGAGCUCAGUUAACGGUAGCCCGCGUUAUUAUCAAUUUUACUUUGACUUCCUUAAAUGUAUUUGGUCCAAAUUGCCGUUUGCUUUGAGAUAAGCUUUGAGCCAUCUAAGUACAUCACCAACAAUACGAUAACUGUCACCCGAAUCUCACAAAACCCAGGGAGGCAGAAAGGGUGGUGAUUGUUGUACCCUUUUCCCAGAUGGGGAAACUGAGGCUCAAGGAAAGAAGUGACUGAUCCAGUGUCACAGCCCCAGGUGGCAGAGCCAGAGCUAGACCUCGGGUCUCCCAAGUCACGAAAACACACUUUCCUCCACCCCCCCACCCUAGUCCCCAGUCACACCCAAGCCACACGUUCUGAGUCCACAUGGACAGGGAGGGUGUCUGGACUGCUGUCCCCAGCACUAAAUCCCAGGCCUGGUUUGUGUUUAGCACAAAGUCUGUCAAAUGAAUAAAUGUCAUGGACUCAUUUGAGAAUGUGAUGGAAAUGAGAGACACCAUCCCCAAGAAAAAUGUUCGUGUGGCCACACGCAUAAUGUACAUUUCAAGGGGUCACAGACCCUGGUUAGGAGGCCUUGACCUAGGUUUUCAGAGGCCUCUCCAGUGCUGAGCUCACUAAGCUAUCCAGAGAUGACCUCAUCACACAAGCCAUCUGCCUGGUGGAAAGGGGGCCCUUUGGCUUCAUCUAGGG